GACGAACGCUGGCGGCGCGCCUAACACAUGCAAGUCGAACGAGCGAGAGAGAGCUUGCUUUCUCGAGCGAGUGGCGAACGGGUGAGUAACGCGUGAGGAACCUGCCUCAAAGAGGGGGACAACAGUUGGAAACGACUGCUAAUACCGCAUAAGCCCACGGGUCGGCAUCGACCAGAGGGAAAAGGAGCAAUCCGCUUUGAGAUGGCCUCGCGUCCGAUUAGCUAGUUGGUGAGGUAACGGCCCACCAAGGCGACGAUCGGUAGCCGGACUGAGAGGUUGAACGGCCACAUUGGGACUGAGACACGGCCCAGACUCCUACGGGAGGCAGCAGUGGGGAAUAUUGCACAAUGGGGGAAACCCUGAUGCAGCGACGCCGCGUGGAGGAAGAAGGUCUUCGGAUUGUAAACUCCUGUUGUUGAGGAAGAUAAUGACGGUACUCAACAAGGAAGUGACGGCUAACUACGUGCCAGCAGCCGCGGUAA
rnacentral:rRNA from 1 species